CAGAAGUCGGAGCAUUCGUAGGACUCUCUCUCGCUUCACCCGGAAGUAUUUGCCGCCCGGGCCACCCAAUUAACUGAAACAAAGCAAAGGGGGAUGAUCGGCGGUUGGCGGCCAGGCUGUGGCUAAGCGCGACACCCUGGCUCCCGCAGCCGCCCGCGCCGCCCGCACCACCCGCUGAGGCUCGCUACGCCGGCUCGCCGCUCUGGGCCACCCGCCGGCUCCUCCACAGCAGCCGCGGGCACCGCCUGGGCUUGCGUGACACCAAGCACCCGCCCGGGCCGCGGGAGGAGGAAAUUCCCUACAAAAUAGCAAUGGUUCCGAGAAAAGGAUCACAACAAAAUAUUGAAUAAAUUCCCUUUUAAUUUAUUUGAUCAUUCCACAUUACGGGGCUAUGAAUUGCUCAAAUUUGAUAACAAGUACUCAAUUCAACUCAUUAUACUGUGACUUUGCCUGCUGAUCCCUGAGGAGCUGACGGUGAACGCCUGAAUGGGCAGCGUGCCAACUUCACAGCGCCAGGCAGGGGUGGGGAAAGAAGGAGGAGGAGGAGGAGGAAGAAGAGAGACGACAGGGAGAUUUCUGAGUGCAUAAAAAUGGACCCAAACUAUCUUCUGGUGAAGAAUCGAGAGCUGGCUCUGCAGUUGAGUGCUCGGUGAAGCUGCUGUGUUUGGGAACAUCACUUUUGCCAGGACGGACUUUCCUAGCUGUGUGCAGGCGGGUAAUGGGAGCGUCUAACAGGCCAUAAAUGCUUAAGUGCUUUGUUUCGCAGGCAUUUUCAGUAAAGGUCAGAAUAAAUUCAUCUUCCCUUAAUGCAGUAUUUAUGUUUGUGCACGGUUUGGAAUAAAAUCACCAUUAAAAAUCCUCACGAAAGAACAGAUAGGAAAAUGGGAGCUGU